rnacentral:rRNA from 1 species
GACGGAGGAUGCAAGUGUUAUCCGGAAUGAUUGGGCGUAAAGCGCACGUAGGCGGUUUGUUAUGUCGGAUGUGAAAGCCCUUGGCUCAACUGAGGAAGUGCAUCCGAAACUGGCAAGCUAGAGUAUGUAAGAGGGUCGCGGAAUUUCCGGUGGAGCGGUGAAAUGCGUAGAGAUCGGAAAGAACACCAACGGCGAAAGCACUCUGCUGGGCCGACACUGACACUGAGAGACGAAAGCUAGGGGAGCGAAUGGG